rnacentral:rRNA from 1 species
UACGAGGGGGGCGAGCGUUGUUCGGAAUUAUUGGGCGUAAAGGGUGCGUAGGCGGUUUGGUAAGUCUGAUGUGAAAUCUAUGGGCUCAACUCAUAGUCUGCAUCGGAAACUGCCGGGCUUGAGUGUGGGAGAGGUGAGUGGAACUGCGAGUGUAGAGGUGAAAUUCGUAGAUAUUCGCAAGAACACCAGUGGCGAAGGCGGCUCACUGGCCCGGUACUGACGCUGAGGUGCGAAAGCGUGGGGAGCAAACAGG